GGAGAGGUGUCCGAGUUGGUCGAAGGAGCGCGCCUGGAAAGUGCGUAGGCCCCAAAAGGGUCUCCAGGGUUCGAAUCCCUGCCUCUCCG
rnacentral:tRNA from 1 species